rnacentral:rRNA from 1 species
AGGAAUAUUGGUCAAUGGGCGUUAGCCUGAACCAGCCAAGUAGCGUGAAGGAUGAAGGCUCUAUGGGUCGUAAACUUCUUUUAUAUAAGAAUAAAGUGCAGUAUGUAUACUGUUUUGUAUGUAUUAUAUGAAUAAGGAUCGGCUAACUCCGUGCCAGCAGCCGCGGUAAUACGGAGGAUCCGAGCGUUAUCCGGAUUUAUUGGGUUUAAAGGGAGCGUAGGUGGACUGGUAAGUCAGUUGUGAAAGUUUGCGGCUCAACCGUAAAAUUGCAGUUGAUACUGUCAGUCUUGAGUACAGUAGAGGUGGGCGGAAUUCGUGGUGUAGCGGUGAAAUGCUUAGAUAUCACGAAGAACUCCGAUUGCGAAGGCAGCUCACUGGACUGCAACUGACACUGAUGCUCGAAAGUGUGGGUAUCAAACAGGAUUAGAUACCCUGGUAGUCCACACAGUAAACGAUGAAUACUCGCUGUUUGCGAUAUACAGUAAGCGGCCAAGCGAAAGCAUUAAGUAUUCCACCUGGGGAGUACGCCGGCAACGGUGAAACUCAAAGGAAUUGACGGGGGCCCGCACAAGCGGAGGAACAUGUGGUUUAAUUCGAUGAUACGCGAGGAACCUUACCCGGGCUUAAAUUGCAUUUGAAUGUUGGGGAAACCCAACAGCCGUAAGGCAAAUGUGAAGGUGCUGCAUGGUUGUCGUCAGCUCGUGCCGUGAGGUGUCGGCUUAAGUGCCAUAACGAGCGCAACCCUUAUCUUUAGUUACUAACAGGUCAUGCUGAGGACUCUAGAGAGACUGCCGUCGUAAGAUGUGAGGAAGGUGGGGAUGACGUCAAAUCAGCACGGCCCUUACGUCCGGGGCUACACACGUGUUACAAUGGGGGGUACAGAAGGCAGCUACCUGGUGACAGGAUGCUAAUCCCAAAAGCCUCUCUCAGUUCGGAUCGAAGUCUGCAACCCGACUCCGUGAAGCUGGAUUCGCUAGUAAUCGCGCAUCAGCCACGGCGCGGUGAAUACGUUCCCG